rnacentral:rRNA from 1 species
UGGGGUUAUAUGGUCAAGCGAAUAAGCGCACACGGUGGAUGCCUAGGCGGUCAGAGGCGAUGAAGGACGUGGUAGCCUGCGAAAAGUGUCGGGGAGCUGGCAACAAGCUUUGAUCCGGCAAUAUCCGAAUGGGGAAACCCACUGCUUCGGCAGUAUCCUGCAGUGAAUUCAUAGCUGCUGGAAGCGAACCCCGU